rnacentral:lncRNA from 1 species
GGAGGAAAUCCAUGGUGGCGACUGUGCUGUGACAGCUGCAGAUGAUGUGAGUCUACUUAACGCCACUCAACUGUCCACUUAAAAAUGGUAAUUACGGGAUAGGGGGCUUGUUUUGACAUCUUGGGAACUGUGCAUGGGCAUUGGCCCAGGAGCAGCCUGAAGAUGCCACACACACCUCUGCUCAUCUGAAGCUGGUAGCAGGCCUUGGAGAAGGUGUUGCCCUUCAUUCUGCACCCAAGGGCGCUGAGGCCAGUGUUCACAGUGCAUUCAUGGCAGGCUGACCGGGCUGGAGCACACUGCCAUUCCUGGCAGCUUCUGCUCCUACCAUACCAGCGCUAAGGAUCUUUAAUGUGGCCCUGGGAUGCACUCUUGAGCCACAGACAAGGCCCAGCACCCCCGGGGCGUCCAUCCUGCUGAAGGGGGCGCAUGCCGAUGAACAGAUGAGGUGUGUAAUUUGUGGUGGUGAGAAGGAACACAUUGCAAAACCAGGGGGAGGAGUUCCUGCAGCUGCAAAGACCCUGGGGUGAGACGCCUGCCACAGGUGAGAAGUGAUGGAAUCAGGUCGACCCCAGUGCCUCUGCUCCUCCCAUGGCAACACAGGAGGCCCCAUCCCUUUGUUAGUGAGCCACAGACACAGUGCAGCCACCGGAUGGUGCGGAAGCCCGAGGCCUGCCCUCUGACCCCCUCCCACUGACGGCCAUGAGGACCCUGUCCCUGGAGCAUCUCCUUGGGGUAAGGCUUCGAUCCUUAUGCAGAACCAUGUGAGGGUGCAGAGUGUCUCAUCUGUCACCUGUGCCUUAGUGAGAAAGAGGAACAGCAAGUCAGGGAACCUACUCGGCCAAGGCCGGACACGGCACAGGCCUCAAUGCUCAAGGCAUGGAUGGACCAUCCCCGGCUUGUCUGAACUGUAGUCCUGUGUGUUUCCAGGAACGCAUGCUUUCUAAUGGUUCCUGUAAUCCAUUCUUAUUGUUAUUAUUUGGAAAGACCUGGAAGGAGAGACUGGUGAGCUGCAUGUGUGUUCUGAGCCUGGGUGCCCACUAUGUGUCCUCCCUCUCCACGUCCUGUGAUUGGUGGCUCAGGGUGUCCCCAAGGCUACAGAGCCUCAUUCGCAGCUGCAGCGCUGCUUUCAGGCUGCCCAGGACCCCAGCCACCUCACCCCAGUCGGAAAGCCAGACACACGCGGUUGGCUCUUGUACACGGGAGUGCGAUGCCUGGAGACUGUGAUUAAGCAGACAUUUUCUCCUCCUCUUGACUUUUGGAGAAAAAGUCAAAACACUGAGAGAACAAAAUAAAGCACUAAAAACAUCCAGGAGUGGCUGCAGCAGCUUCUUGUGGUCCUUGCUCUCCCUGUUGCUGGAUGCUCCCAGGUUGGCCAGGCCCAUCUCUCCUCCCUCCUGAGUCUGCUCAACUCACCGUCCUGGCAAAGCCCUCACUGCCCCCGCUGCCCCUCGCACCCCUUACGCCCCAUCCUCUUACCCCGUUGUGGUUUCUUCACGGGGCUUACUCCUGUCCCGCCCUUUCCGCCUGUGCUUGGCCUCUGGCUUUUCCCUAGGGGAGGGUGAGGUGUCUGGUUUGUUUUCUGUUUUUUUUCUCCAGCUCCUAGGCACUGUCAACCAAUAUCUAUUAAAUGAAUAAGGGAUGAAUAACUCCCCACAGUAAUGUCAGGAACUUGGAAAAAUAAACAAAUCAAAACUAGGACCCUCCUAAGUAUGUCUUGAGUGCCGUAUUAAUCCAGCCAACCUACUCCUUUCUUGUCCAUUGUAUUUUCCAAUGUUCAGAGGAAUGCGCCUGAGCCUCGGAAACAAUUUAAUUGGUUAAUUGGCUCAGCAUAUAUUUAUGGGGUGCAGCAUGCGAGGGGCAGGGACACAGCCAUUGAGUGGGAGCAGGUGAGCCCCCACCUCUCCCGGGCCUUGCUGUCCACCGUAGGUGACACACAUUCAUCCAGCCCUGUCCCAGCAGGCAGAAGCUGAGGCAAGGCUUUGAAGGAAAGGACCUGGCUCCUAAGCCACCAGGGAUGCUCAGCUAUCUUUGACAAUUAAUGCAGGAAAGAGGGACAGGAGCUUUCAGGGCUGAUGUUUCCAUGGCUGGGACUAAAACGGAGUUGCUGGCUCAGCCUUCUGAUGGCGAUUGCAUCUGCUAACCAAUUAAUUUGCGUGCCUGCAUCACACUGACCAGCUGCUCACAGGAGGCUCCUCCAACUCAGCGCCUCUGACUUCCUUGGCUUCCUUCCUGCUGGUCCCUCCACCGUCCUGCUGCAGCUCAGCUGGCCACACACCUGACCCUCAUCCUUCAUGGGUGUGUGGGCUGCUCCUGGGCCCCUCGGCUCCCGACGGUUCCUGGGUGGACCUGUCCUACCUGUUCCUAAGGAAGUACUAACCUAACAACGCAGCAUUGAACGAGGAUGCGCGUGAGCCCACAAGAGGAAUGGAAUAGUUAUGAAUGUGGAAGUGCUCUACCAAGAAUGUUCUGUGCAUCUCAAAAAAAAAAAAAAAAAAAUAGCAAUGCCUGCCCUUGUUAAGUGAAAAGGAGGAAAAUCACAGAGUAUUUUCACCAAAAUGUGUGUAAAAAUGGACUUGGACCAAAUAAGAAAAAAAAGGGCCUUCUUCUCAUUUCCUAACCUAGCCUUCCACAGGUGGACUUCUCAUCCUUCUUCACGACACAUACCUACAAAAGAAAGAGCUUUCAGGUCCCACCUGGCUUCCUGCUUUCUAAUCCAAGUCCCCCGCACACUCAAAAGCAAGUGAAGCCCCCCAGCAGAGACACAGUGCCUGAUUUAUCUUGUUUCUGGUUGCUCUGGGAUCUCAGAUGGUCUCAGGGAGUGGUUCCUCUUCAGAGGUGGGAAGAGAGCCAGAUGCCUCUCUUAGCUGAAUCCUGCUGCUUCUCCAUGGGGAGAGGGCACAGGGCUGCUCUGGAGCCAGCACUGGGACUGGCACAAUUGGAAGGGAACUUCUAGCUCCAAGGACAGGCCAGACAUUUCUAUGGCCUCAUUUGCCCUAGCUGCUGGCUCAGCAGGAGACACCAGGGAUCCCAGGCAUCAGCAAACAGCACUGUAGAAGCUCACCCAGAAUGGCUCAGAGACCACACCCGAGGGCCUCAUGGCCCAGGGUCAUGCUGGCCAGAAACAUGGUGCAUUUGUUUUGGGGUCUUCCACUCUGUCCCAUGCCUUUGGCUCUCCAGGUGCUGAUUGGCUAUCUUAGUUCAGUCCUGAGGUUCACAGGUUCUAAUGAAACAGGAGCCAUGUGGAGUGGAACAAGGGAACAUUCUGUGCCUUGUAAUGGGAGGUUCCAUUCACUGUCACUUGGCCCAGGUGACCAUGCCCAGCCAAGCACCACACCCAGCCUCACAUACACAUUUGAACAUAGCUAUAAAAAAUCAAUCACAUGAAGCCUCUCAUGACGUUUCCUGUUUCUGCUGAUGAUCUCUGGGGUCCUGAGGAGG